CUGGCGCCGAGCUCCCGGCCAUGCUCCCCCCGGGCGGCGGCCGGGCGCCCUGGCCAUGCUCCGCCGCCGCCCCGCAGCGCUCAGCAGCGGCGACAAGGGGGGGGGGGAUGCUGCUGCUGCCGGUGCCGCCGCCGCCGCCCCCGGGGCCGGCCGGGGAAGCGCUGCCGGGGUGGGGGUCUCGGAGCGGGGCCCCCACGUGCGGUGCCGGCCGCGGCAAAGUUCGGCCGAGCCGGGAGCGGGGAGGGGAAGGGACGGGAGGGAGCCGAGGCCAAUGGCACGGAGGGGGAGGGACCGGGAAACGCCCCCCCGGAGGGACGGGCAGAGCCGAGCCGAGCCGAGCCGGGCUGGGCCGGGUGGGGUAGGCGCGGGGAAGGGGCAACGCCGGAUGGGUCCCCCCGUGUCCUCCCCACCCAUGUCACCGCCAGCCCCGGGGGUGUCCCCCCCCUUCCUUGCCUCCCCCCGGGUCACCGCCAGCCCCGCUCGGCAGCAGUGGGAUGGAGCCAGGCUGUCCGUCCGUCCCUCCGUCCGUCCGUCCGUCCGCCCAGCAAAGAAACUUAUCUCGAAUGUAUGGAUUUCCAAAGCCAUACCCACCCCAGCUGCACGGCAGCCAGAUCACUUCAUCUGA
rnacentral:lncRNA from 1 species